GACGAACGCUGGCGGCGUGCUUAACACAUGCAAGUCGAGCGGUAAGGCCCUUUCGGGGGUACACGAGCGGCGGACGGGUGAGUAACACGUGGGUGACCUGCCCUCAGCUCUGGGAUAAGCCUGGGAAACCGGGUCUAAUACCGGAUAUGACUCCAUGACGCAUGUUGUGGGGUGGAAAGCCUUGUGCGGCUGAGGAUGGGCCCGCGGCCUAUCAGCUUGUUGGUGGGGUGANGGCCUACCAAGGCGACGACGGGUAGCCGGCCUGAGAGGGCGACCGGCCACACUGGGACUGAGACACGGCCCAGACUCCUACGGGAGGCAGCAGUGGGGAAUCUUGCGCAAUGGGCGAAAGCCUGACGCAGCGACGCCGCGUGAGGGAUGACGGCCUGG
rnacentral:rRNA from 1 species